UCAAUUUUUAUCCAAAACAGCUGCAACAAUAGCCCUCUCUCUCUAUCUCCCUUCUCACUCUAAACCCUACGACAAAACCAGUGAUGCCGCCUCCUCCAUCGUCGGUCGUCCCUCUCCUUCCCUUCCCUCCGCCGCCGACAAAGACCAAGACUAGCGGUUGUUAUUGAUCAAGAAGGAAAUCCAAAAGGAACUCGAAUUUUUGGUGCAAUCGCCCGGGAAUUGAGAGAAUUAAAUUUUACUAAAAUAGUUUCAUUAGCUCCCGAGGUAUUAUAAAAUGAAAUUGUGAUCUGUUUCUAGUAGGGUAUUUGAAAGAAAUAGAUUAAUUAGUAGAUUGUGUCUCACGCAUAUAUCUUUAAUAAUUCAUAUCAUAUUCAAAAACCAAACUCUGAUUAUAUCAAAUUUGGAGAACCCAAUAAUUUAAGUUCAUCAUGGGCAGGGACACUAUUGCUGAGAUAAUAACUUCUAUCACAAGAACAUUCUGUAGUCUUAGUAAGAGGGGGAAAAAGCCUAGCCUUUCCCUUACCGACGAGUGAGUACCCUUUGGCUUCCGCCAACAGUGAACUAUUAAGGAUCGCAUCCCGCGCAUAUUGAGACCUCCCUCUGUCGCAAUAGAAAUCGGGCCGCCAGCCAUCAGAAAAUGGCCCAGCGCCGCCAUAGCUCCGCUUUUUUUCCCCCAUCGCCGCCUUAAAACCCUCGAUCGCCGCCACCACAAACGACAAGAGUACCAGCACCGGGCAACCCCUUCAAGCCUCUCUACCGCGCCACCAGCAACCCCAAUUCAACCCAUUUGCCGCCCUUUUGAUCAUCACAGCCUCACCGGAGUUGAUGACCGGAGAGGUUUUGAUAGAUUUCCACUUUAAUGUUGUUCAAUUUUGGUGUAAGUUUCAAGUUGGUGACCUUUGCUUAUGAUUACCCCAAAACAGGUUCUUAAUCUUUUAAAAUUUGUGAUGUUUCAUGUGUGAUUUUGACUUGACUAUGUUGAUUUCAUGUUUAUCUACACCUGUUCACUGACAUAUACGGAAACUCCCAAAUUUGCAUGACUUUUGGUUAAACCCUAAUCUGUGAUUUGAAUUACGAUUCUCUUUUGUGCAGUUGUUAUAAAUUUUAUCACUAAGGUAAUAUCAAAUUUAGCCGUAAUUAUGCUUGUCCCUACUCUCUUAAUUUUUAAACAUUUAGCUUGUGUGAAUUUUGAAAUCACGACAGUCUUGUGAUAGAUUGAUAGACUAAUUUUCGUGCUUAGAUCCUGAUCUCAUGCGAUUAUGUUUGGUAACUUUGAUUUUUGUGCUUAAUUGCAAUCACAUGAUUAAGGGACAAUCUUAUAUUGUUAGUUACUUUUAUUCUCAUGUUUUGGGCGAGUAUUAGUGUCGCCCACUCGCAUAUUAUCUCUCUUAAAUUCAAAUUAUGAGACCUGACCUUUUAGUCUAAAAUAUGGCAAUUAGAGAUUUACUUGCUUGUGUAGUUGAUUUUAAAAGGAGUGAUCUCCUUGUUUGGAUAGUUUUAAUUUUUUAUGACUGAGUUUUUUCCCCCUUAAUUAUGGAAAGAUUUAUGGGUUUGAUUUCUUUGGACUGGCUUUUAGCACACUAAUUAUGGUAUGGUUUUGAUGACUGAUUUUACACCCUUAAAUUAUGGUAUAAAUUAUAUGUCUUAUAAAUCUAAUACUACGGGAUUGAUAUAUUCUAAUGUCUUCUUUUAUGGUAAAUAUAACACUAAAUUGAUUUUUCCUCUCCCAAUUGAUUUUUGAUAUGUUUUCUCCUCUUUAAUUGCUGCAAUUGAUUUCUUUCAAUAUGUCUUUCCUUUUAUGUUACGACAUCUAACGCUAUAUAAAGAACUCUUAUUCUCAAUUAACAGACUGUUCUUCCAUUACAAUUACUACUCUCUAAAACAAACAAUAAGAAUUACUGGCUAUUUUUAAUACAAGACAAUUAUAUAUUUUGAGGCUUACGGAAAACAUCUUGCAUACUUCACAUACUUCACUGUGCUUGGCUUUAUUUUAUUUUUUUAUUGCUGCUCAUUGGCAAGUUCCUCAUCAAUGUAUUUACAUAUUAAUGUAUUUACAUAUUAGAAAGCAUGCCUAUAGGAUUAGUUUGAAACAAUCACUUGCUGCUUACUUGUUGUGCCGUGAUUGAUUGUUUCAAUAUGCCUGUCCAUGUGUGUAUAUGUCCCGUGCUUGCAUUGUUUUUCCAUUAUAUUCAACCGGUAUUAUUAGAAGCGGAUUUCAAAGAGUCGCCGGGAUGUUUAAACUGACUAUGUAUUCUUUAUAGCUAGUUGUUUCUCUUCUUAUGUUUCGUAUUAUUCAGUUUGUAAUAUUAUUGUAAAGACAUUGUUAUUGUUGUAAUAAUAAAUUUGGGGACUGCUUCGGGGGCGGGGACUUACAUGCUCUGUGGAUAACAUAGGUAGGCACCACUUAGGAUUUUACGUGUAAUUACGUGCUAUAUGGAUCACUUAAUAUUCAAAGCAUUUGAACGCUUAAGCCUUAACUUAUCCACGUCAUUGCAUGUUUAGUCAUGUUAACGCAAUUUAGGCAUAUUAAAAUGAAUUUGAGCACGUUAAUAUUGUGCGCAUGUCAAUAAUUAAUUUUUGAACAUUGCUGCAUUUUUAACAUGUUAGACACUUAGAUUAUGUCAUUUCAAGUUUGUAACAUAUAAACAAUAUUUAAGCAUGACAAUAUGGUAUGCAUGUUAACAAUUAAUUUUAUGCAUAGUAAUGAAUUUUUUUCAGCAUGAAUUAAUUAUGUUAUUGCAUAGCAUGUAAACACAAAUCUUAGUGUUCUACUAUUUUUAGAGCAUCAUAACAUUAAUUCCUGCACGUUAAUAUAAUUUUAGUAUGUUAAAACGCCAAAUUCAGCAUGUUGAUGCAUCUUUGUGCAUAAUUCCAGCAUGAUAAAUCAAUUUCCAGCGUAGACAAUUAAAGAAUAGAGUUUCAUUUCGAAAAGCAAUGAAGAAGGCUAUUGAAUUAACAGAACAAGCAGAUACAAAAGGAAUUCAAAUACAAAUUGCGGGGCGUAUCGACGGAAAAGAAAUUGCACGUGUCGAAUGGAUCAGAGAAGGUAGAGUUCCCCUACAAACGAUUCGAGCUAAAAUUGAUUAUUGCUCUUAUACAGUUCGAACUAUCUAUGGAGUAUUGGGCAUCAAAAUUUGGAUAUUUCUAGACGAGGAAUAAUUUUACUACUUGUCUUUCCCUUCUAUCCAAUGAUUGUACAAAAAAAGACCAAUUCAUUCUUUUUCUAAUCAAUCAAGGGGAACAUUUCUAAUUCUUAAUUCUAUAAGGUUGAAUAAAAAUUCGAUUGACCAUUUGAUAUAAUUGCUAUGCUUAGUGUGUGACUCGUUGGUUUUUUUAGGGUUAGGAUUAAAAAGACCAGCCCACAUAGUAUGAACUAAAAACUAUAGAACUAAUAACCAACCCAUCACUUCGCAUUAUCUGGAUCUAAAGAACCAGUCAAGAUAUGAUAUAUAGGUCAUAUCUUUGUAGCAACUGAAAUCUUUUGCAUAAACAAAAAACGAAAUCUGAUUCUAAGUUGUAAAGCAAAAUAAAGAAAAAAGAUGUGGAUAAAUGGAAGGAUGAGAGAAAGAGAGAAAAAGAAUACCAAUGAUAUAAAAUUCCAAUAUGUAAGGUCUAUGAGUAAUCUCAUGAAAGGCAGUGUAAUAAAGCAUCAAUAUGCAUUCAUACCAUAAUAAAAAGAAUCUUCUUUAUAGAAAUAUAGAAAUAGAACAAAAAAUCAAGAGCUUCGAGCCAAUAAAGACUGAGAAGAUUGACUCAAGAACCAAUUUCAUUCUGAGCUCCAUUGUAGAAUUCGGACCUAACCAUUAAGUCAGAAGUGAUGGGAACGACGGAACUUGUGAAUGCAAAAGAUUCUAUUGAACAAGGAAUCUUAAUGAUUCACUGGUCGGGAUGGCGGAACGAACCAGAGAUUAAUUCAUGUAUUCUGAGAUCUGAGAAAUCACGAGUUAACCCUACAAAUGAAAUAGGGAUUGAAAGAGUAAAUAUUCGCCCGCGAAAACUUUUUUUAUUGAAAAAUUUAGGACAAUACAAUAAAGGACAAAAUAAGGAUUUGGUAUAAUAAUACAAUUUUUUAUAUUUCUAUUUAUAAAACUAAAAAGUUUAGUUAUCUAUUCAAACAAGAUAUAAAAAUUACUAAUAGAUUUAAUGAAAUCUCAAAGAAGCCCACGUUCAAGGUAUUACUCAGUAAAUACAUAUAUAUCUUAACUUAAGAUUGACUCUUCUAGCUUAAUUCAAAUUGAAUUUUUUGGAAUCCUUUUAUUCGCGAGGAGCUGGAUGAGAAGAAACUCUCACGUCCGGUUCUGUAGUAGAGAUGGAAUUCAGAAACAACCAUCAACUAUAACCCCAAAAGAACCAGAUUCCGUAAACAACAUAGAGGAAGAAUGAAGGGAAUAUCUUAUCGAGGUAAUCAUAUUUCUUUCGGUAAAUAUGCUCUUCAAGCACUUGAACCUGCUUGGAUUACAUCUCGACAAAUAGAAGCAGGCCGACGAGCAAUGACACGAAAUGCACGUCGUGGUGGAAAAAUAUGGGUACGUAUAUUUCCAGACAAACCAGUUACACUAAGACCCGCAGAAACACGUAUGGGUUCAGGAAAAGGAUCCCCUGAAUAUUGGGUAGCUGUUGUUAAACCGGGGCGAAUACUUUAUGAAAUGGGUGGAGUAACAGAAAAUAUAGCCAGAAGGGCUAUUUCACUAGCAGCAUCCAAAAUGCCUAUACGAACUCAAUUCAUUAUUUCGUAAUGUAAUAGACAAAAAUGUAGAAAGGGCUCUUAGAUAUGAAACAAAACCACAUGUUUCUUUUUUUUUGGACAAAAAUAUUUCUUUUUUUUUCUUCGCCCUUUGCAUUCAAAUGCAUUCAAAUAACGGAUUAAAAAAAUGAUUCAACCUCAGACCCAUUUAAAUGUAGCAGAUAAUAGCGGGGCUCGAGAAUUGAUGUGUAUUCGAAUCAUAGGAGCUAGCAAUCGUCGAUAUGCUCAUAUUGGUGACGUUAUUGUUGCUGUGAUCAAAGAAGCAGUACCAAAUAUGCCCCUAGAAAGAUCAGAAGUAGUCAGGGCUGUAAUUGUGCGUACCUGUAAAGAACUCAAACGUGACAACGGGAUAAUAAUACGAUAUGAUGACAAUGCUGCGGUUGUUAUUGAUCAAGAAGGAAAUCCAAAAGGAACUCGAAUUUUUGGUGCAAUCGCCCGGGAAUUGAGAGAAUUAAAUUUUACUAAAAUAGUUUCAUUAGCUCCCGAGGUAUUAUAAAAUGAAAUUGUGAUCUGUUUCUAGUAGGGUAUUUGAAAGAAAUAGAUUAAUUAGUAGAUUGUGUCUCACGCAUAUAUCUUUAAUAAUUCAUAUCAUAUUCAAAAAUAAAUAAGUAAAAAACACGUUGAUUAUAUCAAAUUUGGAGAACCC
rnacentral:lncRNA from 1 species